UGGGGAAUUUUGGACAAUGGGCGAAAGCCUGAUCCAGCAAUGCCGCGUGUGUGAAGAAGGCCUUCGGGUUGUAAAGCACUUUUGUCCGGAAAGAAAUCCUUGGCUCUAAUACAGUCGGGGGAUGACGGUACCGGAAGAAUAAGCACCGGCUAACUACGUGCCAGCAGCCGCGGUAAUACGUAGGGUGCAAGCGUUAAUCGAAAUUACUGGGCGUAAAGCGUGCGCAGGCGGUUUGCUAAGACCGAUGUGAAAUCCCCGGGCUCAACCUGGGAACUGCAUUGGUGACUGGCAGGCUAGAGUAUGGCAGAGGGGGGUAGAAUUCCACGUGUAGCAGUGAAAUGCGUAGAGAUGUGGAGGAAUACCGAUUGCGAAGGCAGCCCCCUGGGCCAAUACUGACGCUCAUGCACGAAAGCGUGGGGAGCAAACAGGAUUAGAUACCCUGGUAGUCCACGCCCUAAACGAUGUCAACUAGUUGUUGGGGAUUCAUUCCUUAGUAACGUAGCUAACGCGUGAGGUUGACCGCCUGGGGAGUACGGUCGCAAGAUUAAAACUU
rnacentral:rRNA from 1 species